GCUCAGAACGUACGCUGGCGGCACGCCUAACACAUGCAAGUCGAACGAAGUAGCAAUACUUAGUGGCAGACGGGUGAGUAACAUGUGGGUAUCUGCCCUUUGGCCUGGAAUAACACGAGGAAACUUGUGCUAAUACCGGAUAAGUCUUUACGGAGAAAGCUUUAUGCACCAUUGGAUGAGCCCGCACUUGAUUAGUUUGUUGGUGGGGUAAUGGCCUACCAAGACUGUGAUCAAUAGCUGAUUUGAGAGGAUGAUCAGCCACAUUGGGACUGAGACACGGCCCAAACUCCUACGGGAGGCAGCAGUGGGGAAUCUUGCACAAUGGAGGAAACUCUGAUGCAGCGAUGCCGCGUGAGUGAAGAAGGCCCUUGGGUUGUAAAGCUCUUUCGUCGGGGAAGAAAAUGACUGUACCCGAAUAAGAAGGUCCGGCUAACUUCGUGCCAGCAGCCGCGGUAAUACGAAGGGACCUAGCGUAGUUCGGAAUUACUGGGCUUAAAGAGUUCGUAGGUGGUUGAAAAAGUUAGUGGUGAAAUCCCAGAGCUUAACUCUGGAACUGCCAUUAAAACUUUUCAGCUAGAGUAUGAUAGAGGAAAGCAGAAUUUCUAGUGUAGAGGUGAAAUUCGUAGAUAUUAGAAAGAAUACCAAUUGCGAAGGCAGCUUUCUGGAUCAUUACUGACACUGAGGAACGAAAGCAUGGGUAGCGAAGAGGAUUAGAUACCCUCGUAGUCCAUGCCGUAAACGAUGUGUGUUAGACGUUGGAAAUUUAUUUUCAGUGUCGCAGCGAAAGCGAUAAACACACCGCCUGGGGAGUACGACCGCAAGGUUAAAACUCAAAUGAAUUGACGGGGACCCGCACAAAGUAGUGGAGCAUGUGGUUUAAUUCGAAGAUACGCGCAGAACCUUACCAACACUUGACAUGUUCGUCGCAACUCUAAGAGAUUAGAGUUUUCGGUUCGGCCGGACGAAACACAGGUGCUGCAUGGCUGUCGUCAGCUCGUGUCGUGAGAUGUUGGGUUAAGUCCCGCAACGAGCGCAACCCUCACUUUUAGUUGCCAUCAUUAAGUUGGGCACUCUGAAAGAACUGCCAGUGAUAAGCUGGAGGAAGGUGGGGAUGACGUCAAGUCCUCAUGGCCCUUACGUGUUGGGCUACACACGUGCUACAAUGGUAUCUACAACAGGAAGCAAGACUGCGAGGUCAAGCAAAUCCUUAAAAGAUACCUCAGUUCGGAUUGCACUCUGCAACUCGAGUGCAUGAAGCUGGAAUUACUAGUAAUCGUGGAUCAGCGUGCCACGGUGAAUGCGUUCCCGGGUCUUGUACACACCGCCCGUCACACCAUGGGAGUUGGUUCUACCUUAAGGCAAGGUUUCAAACCCUUGACCACGGUAUAGUCAGCGACUGGGGUGAAGUCAUAACAAGGUAACCG
rnacentral:rRNA from 1 species